rnacentral:sRNA from 1 species
GCCAGGCACGGUGGUGCACACCUGUAAUCCCAGCAGCUCAGGAGGCUGAGGCGGGAGGAUCAUGAGUUCAAAGCCAGCCUCAGCAAUUUAGAGAGAUCUUGUCUCUA